rnacentral:rRNA from 1 species
GCACUGGGAUAGCCUCGGAAACCGAGGUUAAUACCGGAUACUCCAUAUUUGUCGCAUGGCGAGUAUGGGGAAAGCUCCGGCGGCAAAGGAUGGGCCCGCGGCCUGUUAGCUAGUUGGUGGGGUAGUGGCCUACCAAGGCAAUGAUGGGUAGCCGGGUUGAGAGACCGACCGGCCAGAUUGGGCUGAGACACGGCCCAGACUCCUACGGGAGGCAGCAGC